rnacentral:rRNA from 1 species
AGUGAACGCUGGCGGCGUGCUUAACACAUGCAAGUCGAACGGAUUAAAGGGGCUUGCUCCUUUAAUUAGUGGCGCACGGGUGAGUAACACGUAGCUAAUCUGCCCCAUAGUAAGGGACAACAGUUGGAAACGACUGCUAAUACCUUAUACUCCUUCUUUGCAUAAGCCUGGUCGGGAAAGUUUUUUCGCUAUGGGAUGAGGCUGCGGUCUAUCAGCUUGUUGGUGAGGUAAUGGCUCACCAAGGCUAUGACGGAUAGCUGGUCUGAGAGGAUGAUCAGCCACACUGGAACUGAGACACGGUCCAGACUCCUACGGGAGGCAGCAGUGGGGAAUUUUACACAAUGGGCGAAAGCCUGAUGUAGCAACGCCGCGUGGAGGAUGAAGGUUUUCGGAUUGUAAACUCCUUUUAUUAGGGAAGAAAUUUGACGGUACCUAAUGAAUAAGCACCGGCUAACUCCGUGCCAGCCGCCGCCGUAA